UACAGAGGUCUCAAGCGUUGUUCGGAAUCACUGGGCGUAAAGGGUGCGUAGGCCGCACGGUAAGUCAGGUGUGAAAGCCCGGAGCUCAACUUCGGAAUUGCACCCGAUACUGCGGGUCUUGAGUCCGAUAGAGGUGGGUGGAAUUCCUAGUGUAGAGGUGAAAUUCGUAGAUAUUAGGAAGAACACCGGUGGCGAAGGCGGCCCACUGGAGCGGUACUGACGCUGAGGUGCGAAAGCGUGGGGAGCAAACAGG
rnacentral:rRNA from 1 species